rnacentral:lncRNA from 1 species
GGCCUUGGAAAGGGUCACAAGUUCCAACUGUUGGUGGUUCUUGCCAUGCAGCACGGUGAAAACACAAUGCUCUCCAGCUCUACCGUUACCACUAAUAUAAGUAAUGUUUGUAAAAUUGUUACCUAAUAAACUAUUUGAGUCAGUAAAAAAUAAAUAAAUAUUAACUGAUAAUUACAAUCUUUAGCAUUUGUAUUCAGAUUCACUAUUUACCAUGUGCUUUCAAAGUGCAUUACCUUAGUGGCUCUCAACCCUGGCUGUUCCUCAGAAUUACUUGUAUGUGUUGUUAAGAUCACCAAUACUUAGAACCCAGACCAGCAGAUUCUGACUCAGUAGGUCAAGAAUGGUAUUUUUAAGCAGCUUCAUGGACGAUUUUGAAUUGCAGUCAGGAUUGAGAACCAUGGCUUUCUGUCAUUUGUUUUUCCACAGUGCUCCUGGAAAAAAAGGUUUUAUUUAUACCCCCAUGAGCUUUCACUCCCUUAUGCAUAGGUGCUUUUUCUGAGGCACUUCUUUGAGGAUCCCUUCCCUAACCACACCUUCUUUUCACUCAGUUACCACAGAGGCAGAUCCAAAAUGUAAAUGAGGACCUUGAGCAUAUAUCUCUGAUCUGUCAUCCUACUGUGCUGUACUUUUUUUUUGUUAUUUUUUUUUAAAUUACUGUUGCUUAUUUGGUUGCUUUUGAGCUCCUUAAGAACAUGAAGGGUGAAUAGUGUGAAUUGUAUCUAUUCACCCUUUCCUUUUAAGAAUACUGGAGCACCAGUGUGGUGCAGUCAGUUGAACACCUAACUCUUGGUUUCAGCUUGGGUCAUGAUCUCAGAGUCAUGGGAUCAAGCCCCGUAUCAGGCUAUGUGCUCAGUACGAGGUCUGCUUAGGACUGUCUCUCCCUCUCCUUCUGCCCCUCCCCUGUGAUCUCUUGUCUCUCCCUCUCCCUCUGCCCCUCCCCUGUGAUUUCUCUCUCUCUAAAAUAAAUAAAUCUUUUUUUAAAAAAGAAUACAUUCUAUUACUUAGACAUGAUAGGAUUAAAAUUAAUAACAAUAAUAAUGCAUUCUGCUUACUAUAUCCUGAGUACUAUCUUCUGCAUUGUAUAUGUAUGAUGGAUUGAUUUAACCUCCAUGCAAAUUAUAUGAGGCAGAUGAGGUAAGUACUGUUGUGUUUCUUAUUUUACAGAUGAGGAAACUGGAGAAGAAAGAAAGUCUGAAACCUAAGGUUAUUUCAUCUGUUUAAUGGAGUUGUUUAUAGCAUAAAUGAAAAUUCUUUUCAUUUCACAGAGGAGAUCAUUGAAACUCUUCCUAUCACAUCAGUGUGGACCAUUUUUUAUACUAUGGCUUAGAUACUUGCUCUUUAUUACAAUAUCUGGAGUUUGGGGGAUUCUUUGGGUUCAGUGUACCCUGUGUGUAAUACUUCUUCUACACUGUGCUAUUAUUUCUGUUAAACGGGGGCAGCAGAAGAUACCAGCUGAACCACUGCAGUGCAUGUACUUCCAGUUGAAAACAGUUGAUGUUAAAGGAGCACUGCCAACCAUCUGUUGACAGACUGAUUUGCCACUGAAAAAAAUGGAGUGCAUUUGUUCCAUUUCUAGAUUAUUUAAAAAUAAGGAGCAAUGGGAGUUAUUAAGUUGGGCAAUCUGAGUUCUAAGUAGCAUUUAUACACUUUUUUUUUUCCUGGAUGCCUUCCUUAAAAUUAAAUUUUUAAUAACCUUUAAGCCUUGCAGCCUUGAGGGAAUAAUUUCUUUCACAGUAGUUCAAAGGUUUAAUUUCACAGUAAAGCUUUUGAAAUAUGGUAUUAUCCCUUUUGUUCUAGAAAAUUACUGUUUAAAAAAAUCAUAUUUCAAAGUAAUGAUUGUAAUGAGAAAAAGAUAUGAGGCCCAACUUCAAAAGGAAAAAAUGAUAACCUCGCCUGUGAUGUCCUCUAGUGAGCCUUUCCCUCGUGGAUUCUAAUUUGUAACAGUUCGAAAAAUCUCUGGAAUUGCACAGUUUCUGCCUGGUAAUACAGCCUGGGGUUGGCUUUGGUCUAACAGUGAGGAGGAGGGGUUGAUAUAGACAUAACGGAAGCCAUUAACUUUCUUAUAUGGGUAAAAUUCAGUAUGUCUUCAGUCCUGCUGUGUGUGUGUUUUCUGUAAUGCUAUUCCCAAACAAUGUUAUCUUGGUAGUUCUAAUGCCAUUUUUGUGGACAUUAAAGUUGAGUGUGGAGUUGCAGAGUGGGCAGUGGGAACUGCCAAGUGUAGCAGAGCCUGACAGGGAAAGGAAAAGAGAUGCAGAACACCUAGCAUGUGCAAGACACUCUAUUCUGGGCUUUACAUGUGUUGUAUUUUUUUUUUUUUUGAUCUUCAUGACAGCUCUUUGAGAUAAAUAGCCCACACCCUAUUAGCCCCCUUUUACUGAUGUUAAGGCCUCAUUCUAUAUGAGAUGAUACUCACCCAGUCUAAUUACUUUAAGAAUCAAAGUCCUCACUGCAACUUCCAUUUAGAGCUCCUUGGCCUAUUUAUAAUUUUAUAAAUGCAUUCAAAGGAUUUUUUAAGUUGUAAAUUCAUAAAGAUAUGAAAAGUUUAAUGAAGAAAGACUCAUAUAAUGAGAAAUAUAUAUAUGCAGGGUAGACUUCGAACUGUAUGUUUCCAGAAUUAAAAACAACGAUAAACUAUUGCUAGUUAUUAAAGGAUUGAAACAAAAGGAAAUCUUGGGUAGUAGGGACACUGGAUGAGAUCUCAAAAUACAUGCAUGUAAUUUCUAAGGCUGUAAACUCUGGGACAAUCACUGAAAUCCUCCUAGCCUCAAUUUCUGCAUCUAAGAAAUGGGCACAAAAGAUGUAAAAUGCUUCCCUCAAGUGAUAAAAAGGAUAAGGAUAUGAAAAAGCUUUCUAAACUAUCAUCUCUCUUGCUAAAUGCACCCAUGGCCAUUCAUGCUGUAGCUCUGUGUAUGCAUGUGUCUGAUUAUGGGUUUUUUAGAUGUUUCCAGCACAGUAUUUGCCAUGCUUUAUUGCAAUAAUGUAUUUAGAUAUUUUUCCCACAAACAUACUCUAAGAUCUUUAGGGCAGAGAUUGUACUUGUUCAUCAUAUUUAUCACAUAGUAUAUAUUCAGCUACCUACUUAAAAUUUAAUACUGCAUUCCUAUUUAUGCAUUCACACAUCUAUUCAAUUAGUAUGAAUAUCUAAGUGCCAGAUAAUCAUUAGAAUGGCAUCAAUUUAAUCUAGGAGCUUUCUGAAAUAACUUAUUGAAUGAAUUAUGGAAGUGUGGGCCAUAGAUCAUAAUACCAUAAACUUUAUUCUUGUUAUUUCCUGUAUGCCCUUUAAACUUUGGUAAAUAUAAUAACAGUAGCUAACUUUUAUUGAAUGCAUGCUACUCAUCAUGCUGUAUGAUAAGUAGUCUGCAUGUGUUAUCUCACUGAUACCUCCCAAUAAAUAAAAAAGUACUGGUUAAAGAAAAGAAAGAAAGAAAGAAAACUACAGGUUGAAAAUGGUGUCACUUAGACUAGAGUCUUCAAACCAGGGCUUCAUAUUCAAUCUAACUGCAGUUUCAACCUCCCCCAGAAAUGUGAUCUUAACCAGUCAAGAAAUGUUUUUGUUUUUGUUCUUUUCCAUCAUCAACUAUGAGUCUGUCACCUGGGUCCUCUCCAUUCACCAAAGAAAGAUGAGGUAAUCUGCAAGAUAAGACACCUUGCUUUUUUCCCUAGCCAACAGCCUCCUCUGAAAAAUCCUUUUCUUGUGCUAACAACUUUCUUGCUCUACCCUCAGUCUAUAAAAAAUCUUCCAUUUUGUACAACUCCUGAGAGUGCCUCUUCCCUACAUGUUAGGUGGGGUUUUGCCCAAUUCAUAAAUCACUGAAUAAAGCCAAUUAGAAACUCAAAUUUACUUGGGUGAAUUUUAUUAUUCAAUAGUACUAUCAUUAUAAAUAUUUAGGAAACUCAGGUUUGGAUAGGUUAAGUAAUUUGUUCAGGGUCACAGUAAAUAUUGAUAUCAAGAUUCAAAACUAGAUCUUUCCAAUUAAUUUAUUCAACAAAUCUUCAUUGCAUUCUUACUAUGUGCCAGGUGCUAUGCUACUUACUGGGAAUACAGUGGUGAAUAAGGACACAGCGCUUAUGAUUUGUGGACUUACUGCCUAGUAGUAAAAGAAAGAUUAACCAUAGAAAUAUGUGAUUAACUAAUUAAUUAUAAUUCUUAUAUAAGUUUUCUUUAGAUAUUUAAACUGACAGCUAUAAAAUCCAAUGGUCUUUGGAUCUUACAGAACAGUCUUAUUCUUUUCUCUACAACAGAAUGGUCUUUUUAUACUCUAAACAUGUGGAGAAAUUUUCUCCUUUCUGAUAGAUACCUUAUGGAGAUGGGGCAGGUGGUCUUUUAUUCUCUUCAUGCUCAAGGAGUCAUUUACCAUAACUAAUCUCCUACUUUGUCCUGAUAUUUUCAGCCAAUAAUUUAGAUCUUCAUGUUUACAUUCAAUUUGAAAAUACCACAGAACUAUAAUGCAUGGGGGGCAGGUAGUGGCCAUUGGAUAAUAUUUUCUCAAAUAGCCAAAAGGCCUGGAGAUUGGCUUCCAGUAGCCACCUGAAAGCAAUGAAUUAUUUUUUGGUGGUAGAACUGGGACACAUAUAUUGAUAUACUUCAACCUUGUAGCACCUUCAACUUAGUCUGUCCCAUAAUUCCUUUUCUCUGGACCAAGAGGCUCAGUUGAAUACAUUUAAACAUAUGAGUGGAGUAAAUUUCUAUGAUCUUUAUUAAAGAGUAAGUAGUUAUGGGUUUUUUUUAAUUUUUAUUUAUUUAUGAUAGUCACAGAGAGAGAGAGAGAGGCAGAGACACAGGCAGAGGGAGAAGCAGGCUCCAUGCACUGGGAGCCCGAUGUGGGAUUCGAUCCCGGGUCUCCAGGAUCACGCCCUGGGCCAAAGGCAGGCACUAAACCGCUGUGCCACCCAGGGAUCCCAGUUAUGGUUUAAUAAAAAAAUGUGUAUUUGGUCUUUGUCCCUGGUUCCUGGCACAGAGUUCCUAAACUCUUUGGAAUUUCCUGAGCGAUAAGAGUGACUUCUAUCAUUUAUAACAAAUCCCUUUUGACUAUAUCAGAGUUUAUGCUAAUGAGGUAACUCUUGCAGGGCCCCUUGAUAGCUUCAAGAUGGGUUCCAGAGGAAGCAAUCACAUGAUUAGAGGGUUAAAACUAUCAGCUCCAUCUGACCUCCAACCUCUGAGGAACUGAGAAGGGUUGAAUAUUAAAUUCAAUCACAACUGGCCAAUGAUUUAAUCAAUCAUGUCUAUGUAAUGAAACCAUUAAAACCUCUGAAACAAUGAGAUUUGAGGGAGCGUCCAGGUUGAUGAAUGGAGGGUUGCAGGAACUCCUGAAUUUGUAGCAAGCUAGGCAGUAUAGGUAGCCUAGCGACCCCAUUUGCUGCUGAUUUCUAAUGUAUAGGCAGUCUUGUGGAAUUGAGCCCUUAACCCUUGGCGUCUGUACUAAUUCCAGGUAGAUAGUGUCGGAAUUGAAUCACAUUGCAGGACACCUAGUUGAUGUAAGAGGAUGGGAAAACUUAUUGAUGUUGGAAUGAUGUAUCUGAAUUGUUUUGAAAGAACACAUGAUGGUACUAGGAGUUUAACUCGGUUAUACCAAAGGGCUAUGACCUUAAAGGCCUUGAAUUUUGGUUUUGCCAUUUAGAAUGUGUGUAACCUUGGGCAGGUCACCUAAUUUCUUUGUUUUGCUAUCCAUAAAACUGAAAAAUUCAUAACAAUAUUUUUUUAAAGAUUCAGUUAGUUACUGUAAAUAUUGGCUUUUUCUCAGUAGCUGCCGCCUAGUAAGUAGUCAUUUUUUAAUUUUACUGUCUCUUCUUUUCCUUUCCCUCAAUUUAAGUUCUAGAACAGACUACUUCAUAUUAGCCCAGAAAUCCAGUAUUGUUCUAGUUACACUUACUUUACUCCAGAAAUUUCAGUAUCUUUCUAACAAUUGAGUUUCUCAGGCAAUGUACAGCUGAGGGUCAGACCAUGUGUCAGGCAAUGUGUCCCAGUUUGGGGUUUGUGAAAUAUAGUCACUACUUUAGACUAUGUGGUGAUUAAAAUGCAGGAGACAGUGCAAAAGACGCUACUGAAUUCAUUAACAUUUACAACAUAUUAGCUAUGGGAUUAUUUCCAGGGGCAGGAGGCAGGAAAGGAGAGGUAGAACAUUUGCUUCUAAUAGGAGAUGGGGGUACCUUUAAGGUUUAACCACUAAAGUUCUAACAAACCAGCUUCUCUGAUAAGGCGGACCAGCCGGCCUCCGCGUAUUUUGCAAUUUUCAGUACACAGUUCCACUUUCACACUUCAAUAAUUCAUUUUCUAGCACUUAGAAUCCAGAAACCUGCUUUCAAUGAUGUACCUAAAAUGUAAGGAACAGAGUUUAAUAACCAACAUCUCCACUUAUCUCAUCUCAUUCCCCAGUAAAUUGUGUUGGAAAACAUGUGUAAAUAGUACCAAGCAAAACAGGGCAUUUAUGGUCUCCUUUAGAGUGUGUUCUAUUUGAAUUCUAGAUUUAGUGACUUUUAUAGAGGUAACCAUUUUCCAUAACAAAACUGCAAAACUUUCUAAAAUGAAAAUUCUAAUACUAUCAUAGAAUUGUAGAAUCUUCAGACUUAGAUUCAAAUAGAACUAACAUAUGUGAAGCAUCCAAUUUGUCCUUGUAGUAUUCUGAAUGGUUUCAAUCUCUCUGUGGCAGAUAUUAUCAGUCUCAUUUUAUAGACAAGGUGUCUUAGACUAGUAGAGGUUAAAUUAUUUUCCUGAGGUUGGAGUUGAAAUAGAGUUUGGAGAAAUCCAAAUAGGCUUGAAUGCUUCCCAUAAUGAUGAAGUAACUACUAACUUUACUUUUUAGGAAAUAAGUCUGAAGGUUAAAAUUAUCAUUAAACAUUCCAGAAGUCGCUUCCACCACCAGGAGAAACACUCUUAGGGGAUAGCCACGGUUUGCAUUUCAGAUACUUUCUCAUGUUCAAAUAUUGAGCCAUCAUUGGAGAUGUCAAAUAAAUAAUCCUCUAAAAAGGUCCUCUUUCCAAUGAUCUUAAACUUUAGAACACUAAAAUAAAUAUCUGACAACAUAUGAGGUGUUCUUCAAGUCCGUGGGUGCCAUAUACCCUAUUAGAUAUUUUGUUUUACAAAGAAACUGAGAGUUAUUUAUGGAGCAGUUUAUUUAGUGAUACUUAGAUACAGUAGGCAACAAUGAUAAUUCAGUGUGGUUGGUAGCCAACAUAGCUCUAAAGUAAUCCAGUGGUAUUACUGCCAGGUUAAGAAAUUAAGACCGCUAUCCACAUAAGCUUGAACUCUGAAAGCCACCAAUAUUUAACAGGCUUGUAACAAAACUUUCAUCACUGUGUCUCCAAUGAUUUAAAGGUGAUAUUAAGGUACAUGGGCUAUCUCAUGAAUAUCAAGAAUGUUAUUCAUGAUGCAGUCUUUGUAAAUCAUUAUUUGGUAUUAAUGCAAAUAACAACUGCAAUAAUAAUAGCUAACAAUUAGUAAGCAGUCUCUUUGUGUUAGACACUCUGAUAGUUAAUUUACAUAUUUUAAUAUUUCAUCUCCAGACAGCAUAUAAACAUUGUCAAGGUCUGCCAUAGUCUCACAAUUUUAUAGAUGAGGAAACCCAAGCUCAGAAAAGUGAAGAUAUUCAGCUAGCAAGGACCUGAGCUAAGACCCAAACCCAAGUAUGUUUGGCACUAAGGGCAGAGCUUCAAUUCAAGUUUUGAAUAUCUGAAAAGAUCAGAGCAGACUGCAGUAUAAUAAAGAAGUGCCAAACAGAGCUCUUCAUUAGAUAUUCAGCAGAUUAAUAACCUAAAACAUGGACUGUGACAUCAAUGACAAUCUGACCACCAAAGAUUUAUGCUUCCUUUUGAUAAUAUAUGAAGUCAGCCACAGACUACCUUUUGUGAGCUCCCCUGAAUCUAGAACCAGGUCUGAUUUCUGACCAAGUAAUAUUGAUGGAAGAGAUAACACUUCCAAGCCUCCUCAACCUCUUGAAUAAUGUCUCACUCUUUCUCUUUUCUUUAUACUAGUUGCCUGUCGAAAUCCAAGAUGAUCUUGGAAGCCAAAUGUUGAAAGGACAGAAUGUCGUUAGGUUAAGUCCUUCCAGCACAGUAAUUGUCCUCUAUUCCCACCUUAUGCUGAUUGGUCUCUGGGUGAAUGAGAAAUAACCUCUAUGGGAUCAAACUACUGAGAUGUAGGACCUUAUCUUUUAGUUUGUGAUAACUAAUACAUAUUACUAGAUAUGUAUAAUAUUUUCAAUAAUGUGGUCAAUCAGAUUUAAAUAAAUCAAUCUUAUAGAAGAGUGAAAUAUUAUAAUAGUUCCUUUUCUGUUUUAGCAAAGAAUUUUAACUUCGGUUAAAGACUGAAGAGAAAAGAAGUGUUAUUUUGGAAAGCUGAAUGGCUGCACCUUUUGCUGGUGCUUCACAGAACUACUAGUUUUAAUAAGAAUCACUCAUUCUCAGAGUUCUUGAGGACAGAAAGAAGAGUUUGUUUUGGUGGUAAGAGAUGAAGUAAAAUACCAAAGAAAACGAUAAUACAUCAUAAUGAUACUAUGCUGUUUUCAGCUAAAAAUCAGGAACAUUUUGAGUAAAACCUAAAAAGUCAAAGUUAACUAUACAAACGAAUCUCUCUGUGUGUCUCUUUUCUGUUUCUCUUUCUUAUCCCUUGAAUAUAGAUUAAAAAAAUGUUGACCCUGAUAGGAAUAAUGCCUAACAUCUAUCGCUAACCUUUUUUACUUUGAAAGAGUACUGCUACAUAGAAUGCUAUCACAAUGACCUUCACAAAAGCACCAUAACAUAAGCAUUAUUUUAUCUACUUCACAGUUAGGGAAAUAAACUCAGAAUGAUUACACAAAAUAUCUAUGGUCCUAUGGCAGGUAUGGAUGGGAACUAGGGCACAACUAUUUAGUUAUCCUCCUCUACUAGCCCAUGAUACUUCAGAUUUCCAUCUCCAACAACCUGCUACCUAUUUUCACCUGUGACUGUGCAAUUUGAUUAUCAAGCUGCCCCUACUUAGCCACUCUGAAGAAUUUGUCUCUGCUGGACAUCCCUUCUUUUGGCUUACCCAGCACCAUCAUCUUCUUGUUUCCUUCUUAACUGUGCCUAAUCCUGGGCUUCCUUGCCCUGCCCUGAAGACUUGAUCUACUGCACUUAUUACUGGGAGAAUUUCAGUUCUCAGUUCCCCACGUGGUUUCUCAACACAUGAAAAAAUGUUCUCCAAUAGAGCAUUGUUACGGAAUUUAUGUUCAGGGCUCAUAUAUUCCUAGAGAAGAAACACAUUUUAUUCUUUAUGAAAAUCUGUAUUUUAUGUUGCACACUUAUGCAAAGAACAUGUUCUAUAUAAAUCUUACAAAUGAAAAUGUGAAUGUGAACAUGCAAAUGUGGUAACAACUGUGAAUUGAGAUAUAAAUAGAGGAGUCAAAUACAUGAAACGUUUCUUCAAGGCAGGAAAAAUAGAUCAAGGGAGACAAAAAGAUUUGCUUCAGUGCUUGGGACCUUGUUUUCUGCCAAAGUCAAGGAAUAUAAACAACAAUAUUGACUUUGUAAGGUCAAAGUUACUGGGUUUUAUACAAAAUGACUGCAGUGGAAGGAAUAUUUUUUGAUGUACAUAAAAAAAAGAAAAA